rnacentral:rRNA from 1 species
GUGAACUCGAAGAGUAGGGCGGGACACGUGGUAUCCUGUCUGAAUAUGGGGGGACCAUCCUCCAAGGCUAAAUACUCCUGACUGACCGAUAGUGAACCAGUACCGUGAGGGAAAGGCGAAAAGAACCCCGGCGAGGGGAGUGAAAAAGAACCUGAAACCGUGUACGUACAAGCAGUGGGAGCACCUUCGGGUGUGACUGCGUACCUUUUGUAUAAUGGGUCAGCGACUUAUAUUCUGUAGCAAGGUUAACCGUAUAGGGGAGCCGAAGGGAAACCGAGUCUUAACUGGGCGUUAAGUUGCAGGGUAUAGACCCGAAACCCGGUGAUCUAGCCAUGGGCAGGUUGAAGGUUGGGUAACACUAACUGGAGGACCGAACCGACUAAUGUUGAAAAAUUAGCGGAUGACUUGUGGCUGGGGGUGAAAGGCCAAUCAAACCGGGAGAUAGCUGGUUCUCCCCGAAAGCUAUUUAGGUAGCGCCUCGUGAAUUCAUCUUCGGGGGUAGAGCACUGUUUCGGCUAGGGGGUCAUCCCGACUUACCAACCCGAUGCAAACUGCGAAUACCGAAGAAUGUUAUCACGGGAGACACACGGCGGGUGCUAACGUCCGUCGUGAAGAGGGAAACAACCCAGACCGCCAGCUAAGGUCCCAAAGUCAUGGUUAAGUGGGAAACGAUGUGGGAAGGCACAGACAGCCAGGAUGUUGGCUUAGAAGCAGCCAUCAUUUAAAGAAAGCGUAAUAGCUCACUGGUCGAGUCGGCCUGCGCGGAAGAUGUAACGGGGCUAAACCAUGCACCGAAGCUGCGGCAGCGACACUAUGUGUUGUUGGGUAGGGGAGCGUUCUGUAAGCCGUUGAAGGUGGCCUGUGAGGGUUGCUGGAGGUAUCAGAAGUGCGAAUGCUGACAUAAGUAACGAUAAUGCGGGUGAAAAACCCGCACGCCGGAAGACCAAGGGUUCCUGUCCAACGUUAAUCGGGGCAGGGUGAGUCGACCCCUAAGGCGAGGCCGAAAGGCGUAGUCGAUGGGAAACAGGUUAAUAUUCCUGUACUUGGUGUUACUGCGAAGGGGGGACGGAGAAGGCUAUGUUGGCCGGGCGACGGUUGUCCCGGUUUAAGCAUGUAGGCGGAGGUUCCAGGUAAAUCCGGUACCUUUUAACGCUGAGGUGUGAUGACGAGGCACUACGGUGCUGAAGUGACAAAUGCCCUGCUUCCAGGAAAAGCCUCUAAGCAUCAGGUAACACGAAAUCGUACCCCAAACCGACACAGGUGGUCAGGUAGAGAAUACCAAGGCGCUUGAGAGAACUCGGGUGAAGGAACUAGGCAAAAUGGUGCCGUAACUUCGGGAGAAGGCACGCUGAUAGGUAGGUGAAGUGAUUUACUCAUGGAGCUGAAAUCAGUCGAAGAUACCAGCUGGCUGCAACUGUUUAUUAAAAACACAGCACUGUGCAAACACGAAAGUGGACGUAUACGGUGUGACGCCUGCCCGGUGCCGGAAGGUUAAUUGAUGGGGUUAUCCGUAAGGAGAAGCUCUUGAUCGAAGCCCCGGUAAACGGCGGCCGUAACUAUAACGGUCCUAAGGUAGCGAAAUUCCUUGUCGGGUAAGUUCCGACCUGCACGAAUGGCGUAAUGAUGGCCAGGCUGUCUCCACCCGAGACUCAGUGAAAUUGAACUCGCUGUGAAGAUGCAGUGUACCCGCGGCAAGACGGAAAGACCCCGUGAACCUUUACUAUAGCUUGACACUGAACACUGGUCCUUGAUGUGUAGGAUAGGUGGGAGGCUUUGAAGUGUGGACGCCAGUCUGCAUGGAGCCAUCCUUGAAAUACCACCCUUUAAUGGCUGGUGUUCUAACGUGGGCCCGUAAUCCGGGUUGCGGACAGUGUCUGGUGGGUAGUUUGACUGGGGCGGUCUCCUCCCAAAGAGUAACGGAGGAGCACGAAGGUUAGCUAAUCCUGGUCGGACAUCAGGAGGUUAGUGCAAAGGCAUAAGCUAGC